rnacentral:ncRNA from 1 species
AUCUUAUAAUUGUAGAAACACAAAUCAGACAAAAUAUUUUCAGCGAGCAGGUGAUGGUGAGAGGCCUGUAAUCUCUUUUGUUUGAUUUAUCAUUCUGUCUAAUCAUAUCUGAACUGAGUAAGAUAUGACGUCUGCCUACGUUACGGGCUAAGAGGGACAGGCUUUUUCCUGUCUAAACAAAGGUGGUACCGCGAAUUUUCGUCCUUUAG